GACGAACGCUGGCGGCGUGCUUAACACAUGCAAGUCGAGCGGUAAGGCCCUUUUGGGGGUACACGAGCGGCGAACGGGUGAGUAACACGUGGGUGACCUGCCCUCAGCUCUGGGAUAAGCCUGGGAAACUGGGUCUAAUACUGGAUAUGACCUUUCCUCGCAUGGGGUUGGGUGGAAAGUUUUUCGGCUGGGGAUGGGCCCGCGGCCUAUCAGCUUGUUGGUGGGGUGAUGGCCUACCAAGGCGACGACGGGUAGCCGGCCUGAGAGGGCGACCGGCCACACUGGGACUGAGACACGGCCCAGACUCCUACGGGAGGCAGCAGUGGGGAAUAUUGCGCAAUGGGCGGAAGCCUGACGCAGCGACGCCGCGUGGGGGAUGACGGCCUCGGUUGUAAC
rnacentral:rRNA from 1 species